UGGCCUUGGUAGCGCAGCUAACGCGCGAAGCUGACCGCCUGGGGAGUACGGUCGCAAGAUUAAAACUCAAAGGAAUGACGGACCCGCACAAGCGGUGGAUGAUGUGGAUUAAUUCGAUGCAACGCGAAAAACCUUACCUACCUUGACAUGUCUGGAAUCCCGAAGAGAUUUGGGAGUGCUCGUAAGAGAACCGGAACACAGGUGCUGCAUGGCUGUCGUCAGCUCGUGUCGUGAGAUGCUGGGUUAAGUCCCGCAACGAGCGCAACCCUUGUCAUUAGUUGCUACGAAAGGGCACUCUAAUGAGACUGCCGGUGACAAACCGGAGGAAGGUGGGGAUGACGUCAAGUCCUCAUGGCCCUUGCGGGUAGGGCUUCACACGUCAUACAAUGGUCGGGACAGAGGGUCGCCAACCCGCGAGGGGGAGCUAAUCCCAGAAACCCGAUCGUAGUCCGGAUCGCAGCCUGCAACUCGACUGCGUGAAGUCGGAAUCGCCAGUAAUCGCGGAUCAGCAUGUCGCGGUGAAUACGUUCCCGGGUCUUGUACACACCGCCCGUCACACCAUGGGAGUGGGUUUUACCAGAAGUAGUUAGCCUAACCGUAAGGAGGGCGAUUACCACGGUAGGAUUCAUGACUGGGGUGAAGUCGUAACAAGGUAG
rnacentral:misc_RNA from 1 species